GGAAUCUUCCGCAAUGGGCGAAAGCCUGACGGAGCAACGCCGCGUGGGGGAUGAAGCCUUUCGGGGUGUAAACCUCUUUUCUCGGGGACGAAGAUCUGACGGUACCCGAGGAAUAAGGACCGGCUAACUACGUGCCAGCAGCCGCGGUAAUACGUAGGGUCCGAGCGUUAUCCGGAGUUACUGGGCGUAAAGCGCGCGCAGGUGGCGUCGCAAGUCUGGCGUGAAAGCCCCCGGCUCAACCGGGGAGGGUCGUCGGAUACUGCGGUGCUUGAGGGAGGCAGGGGUCGGUGGAAUGCCCGGUGUAGUGGUGAAAUGCGUAGAGAUCGGGCGGAACACCCGUGGCGAAGGCGGCCGACUGGGCCUAACCUGACACUGAGGCGCGAAGGCGUGGGGAGCGAACGGGAUAGAUACCCCGGUAGUCCACGCAGUAAACGAUGCAGACUGGGCGUGGGGGGACUUGACCCCCUCCGUGCCGGAGCCAACGCGUGAAGUCUGCCGCCUGGGGAGUACGGCCGCAAGGCUAAAACUCAAAGGAAUUGACGG
rnacentral:rRNA from 1 species